CGGUUUGCGGAAACCCGGCUGCCCGGCGCCUCCGGCUCGCACGCGCUCCGAGCUCCCACGCCACAUCCCGCCCCAGGGAAGUGCCGCUCAAUCCUGACCCCAGCCUGGGGACCGAUCUGAGCUUGACUUCUGCCUCUGCUCCGCCCGCAGUCUCGGAACCGCACACCGCGGCCAGCAGGCCAGGACGUCGCUUGCAUCGCGCUGGGAUGUUCAAGGUGGCUCCAGUGGAUACAAUCUGAUUUUUCAUUUUGAAUCAUGAAAAGCACUUCUCAAAAAAAGCAUCUUUAAAUGAUUCAAAGUCUCCUUGCAAAUCCUGUUGGAACCUUGGAAAAGGCAGGAACCCAUCGGUCCUGCUUUCACCUUUGUGUGCAAGGAAUAGAUGUUUUCACAGAGAGUUGCUCAGAAGGAAACGAACUUCUUAAGCUGUUAAGCAACUAUUUUGGAGAAUGAUUUCUUAUCUUUUAACUGUAGAAGUCUUAUCCGAAUUUGCAAAACCAGAGCAUUUCAACUUUGGAACAACAUUCCAGAUCAUUGUAUUUUUAGUGACAGUAUUUCUGGGAAUAUUUCUUCAUAAUUUUUUUAAUCAUAUAGUUGCAAAAUGUGUGGCUUUUUUCUUAAGCUAGCAUAUUGCAUAAAAAAACCAGCCAAAAGUUGGCUUUUUUUUAAUUCAUCUUUUCUAUCUCAAAACCUAAAUGAAAUUAGUACAACUUUUAUGCUUGUACUAUUUGAAUUCUUAAAGACAUAGCUGAGUUUUUAAGGUUGUUUUGGCAUAAUGCAAAAACAUCUGGAUGUGAAAUGAAAAAUUUAGUCUGUCACCCAGGUUCCAGAUGUUUGGUACUAUGUAGACAAAACAUCAGGAUGAGUGACUGAAAUUUUUCCCUCCAAGCCAGAUGGUGUAGUGCCUGGUGCUUCUAUAAGGAAGCAUAUUUUCCUUUCUCUAAACAUCACAUCCUACUGUAUCUCACGUUAAGGAAUGAUUUACGCUCUUUCAUCGACAAAAUGCUGGGCCAUUUGGAGUGCAGCAAAGCAAUCCGUAAAUGAAACUCUAAGUAUAUGUUUUGGAAAAUGUAGUCCAAGUACAAGUUUUCAUGUGUACUUAGGAGGGAGUGGUGGUGGAGAAGCCAGAAAUGGGGAGGUAGGAAAGAGACAGCCUUGUUCAAUAGGGGAAUGACUAGAUUAAAAGGACAUAGCCUUCUAAGAAACCAUUUGUGGCAUUCUAUAAUCUUACCUGGGCUAAAGGUAGCAUUUAGCACUAGCCUGGACAGGCCUUCCUGUUGCCUGAGAUGCACUUGAAGUGUGAAAUACCAUUGGGUCCUCUGAAGCCCUCUUUUCCCUUUAUUCAUUCUUGAAACAUUAUAAAACAAGUAAAUGUAACAUAACCUUAAAACAUGGUUACUUAUGAGCAUUACACAGGUAGGCAAAUUCUGUGUUUGAAAAGUAAGCAAUAUGGUGAAUAUUUUAAUUGGUCAAAAAAUAUAUUGCCAAUGAACAAAUUUCUCUUCAUGUGAAAUGUCUUCACACAUUCACUUGGAGAUGAAGAGAAAGUAACAUUUCUUCCUUCCUAAAAGUUAACAGAGAUUUAAAGUCAUGAGCAGGGUCUGAGCUUUUCCAAGUGUCUUUGGCUUAGCCAUGUUGAGAAAGAAGGACAGAUAUAAGAGGCCUUCCACUAGAAUCAGCAGAUGAAAUCAACCCAGAAUGAAUUCCAUUCUACUUAUUAACCUUACACGCUCACUGGGUUAUAGAAGAGUGUUUAGAUAAUGAAUGGCAGUGAAUGUUAAAACAUCAUAAAAUUUGACCACAUAACAAUUGCUGCAAGAAAAACAUACCAUUUUGAAUAGACCUUCUUAUAACUCAGAAUCUGAGACUCAGAUAAUAAGACCCACAAUUUCAAUACUGGCCCCAAAUCAAUUUUUAAAAAUAGCUUACAGGGAUCUAGUAGCGUUUCGGGGGUACACAUAUUGAGUCAUCAAGAGCCUCAAAAGUCAAAAAGGAAUCUUGAACACUAUAUAAAACAGAAUCACAGUUAUUUUUCUUGAUUGCUAUAAUUGGGAUGUUUUCAUGACCUUUUUUGUGAUGCAUUUAUUAGAAUAAUAAAAUGAAAGAGCUGAAAUGACCUUAGAGCUCAUCCUUUUACAGAUGAAUAAAUUGGGGAUCAAAAACAUUAAAGGACCUACCCAAGGUCACACACUGAUUAGUGGUAAAGUCAGCUUGCCUUCAGAACAUUACCACUCAGAGUCACAGAUUUCUGAGUAGUGUUCAAGAAACCGACACCCAUCACUACAAGCUGGAGACAGCUCAAAAUCAUUCAGUCAUGUUACACAUUUAAGAACUAUAAAACAAAGCCAGCAUGAAGGCAGAGUUCCCCCAUUUGUCUCCAUAGUAAGAUGGACUAUUGCAAAACAGAGCUAAUAAAACUUGGGCACUUCAACAAUUUGGCUAGUGGGCCUGAUAACAACAAAUGACAGCUGAGCUUUUUAUAGAGAACUUGAAGCACCUUGGAAGAAUGCCAUCCACACAAACUGCUACAGUCUUUUUUUUUUUUUUUUGGAAAAUAACAUAUUCAGACAUUCAAAAUAAGUGACUUUGAUGGGGAGGAGGAGGUGGCUGUAGCCAUGUCAACCCCAUUCUUUACAGAGGAAGACAAGGUAUCCCACCUGACUCACAGCUGUCUUAGCUCCCUGUUCCAGUGGCUUGUAUGAUGAAAUGGAAGAUUAGGAUGCAUUGGAUCAUCAUUUGGGCUAUUCCCCUGAAGUCAAGCAUGAAAUCUAUUUAGCUGGAGAGCUACCCAUUUCCUCUGACCUGCAGAAGAAAUGCCCUGUUCUUUCAGAAUCGCUGGAAUGCCAGAAUCCGAAGAAAACUGGAGCCACAUGCCUGGGCCCCUUGAGGUCCUCUCAUCCCUACUCCAUGCCAAAGGAACAUGCUGGCAGAAAUGGAGCAGACUUACAGCGCUACUUGACCCAGAAGCACAGCUGCUGAUUCAUCAGCAGAGGUCAUUGUGUGACUUUAAGUUGCUAUGGAUUUAAGACUGUCUCUUAUCAACUGGAGUAUUUAAAUCUCUUUUGUCCCUGGGACCUUUUGGGCAGUUUUGUAAAGACCUAUAGGCGCCUCAGAAAAAAUGUUCUUAAAUGCCCAAAUGAUACUGAAAUCAAGUUAUCAGAAUAUUUUAAAGAAACAAAUUUAUGAGCUAGUAUUAUAUUUGCUUUCUUAUUUAACCCAUUAAAUGCAAAAUCUUGUGGUGGGUCUAAUAAAUUAUAUAAUAUUGAAAUAGGGAUAAGUGUGAAUAAUAGUUCAAACUUAUCAACAAUUAUAAUGUGAUAUGAAGGGAUCUGUGAUUUCUAU